UACGUAGGGUGCAAGCGUUAAUCGGAAUUACUGGGCGUAAAGCGUGCGCAGGCGGUUUUGUAAGUCUGUCGUGAAAUCCCCGGGCUCAACCUGGGAAUUGCGAUGGAGACUGCAAGGCUAGAAUCUGGGCAGAGGGGGGUAGAAUUCCACGUGAUAGCAGUGAAAUGCGUGAGAGAUGUGGGAGGAACACCGGAUGGCGCAAGGGCAGCCCCCUGGGUCAAGAUUG
rnacentral:rRNA from 1 species